rnacentral:rRNA from 1 species
ACGGGAGGCAGCAGUAGGGAAUCUUCCGCAAUGGGCGAAAGCCUGACGGAGCAACGCCGCGUGAGUGAUGAAGGUCUUAGGAUCGUAAAACUCUGUUGUUAGGGAAGAACAAAUUUGUUAGUAACUGAACAAGUCUUGACGGUACCUAACCAGAAAGCCACGGCUAACUACGUGCCAGCAGCCGCGGUAAUACGUAGGUGGCAAGCGUUAUCCGGAAUUAUUGGGCGUAAAGCGCGCGUAGGCGGUUUCUUAAGUCUGAUGUGAAAGUCCACGGCUCAACCGUGGAAGGUCAUUGGAAACUGGGGAACUUGAGUGCAGAAGAGGAGAGUGGAAUUCCAUGUGUAGCGGUGAAAUGCGCAGAGAUAUGGAGGAACACCAGUGGCGAAGGCGGCUCUCUGGUCUGUAACUGACGCUGAUGUGCGAAAGCGUGGGGAUCAAACAGGAUUAGAUACCCUGGUA